AGGAGAAGUUUGAAUGGAGGCAGAGAGUACACUAGGAAAUAGAAUGGAAAAAGGAAGAGAAGGCAAUGCUGAAGCACAAGAGCGAGAGGCUAGCGGAAGUUAAAGCAAUAAACUAUAAGCAUUUUGAAUGAUUAGGGCCUCGUGUUGUUGGGAACAUUAGAACCAUGGGGAAAGCUAAUCUUGGUUGCUAGUUUAGCAUAGAAGCCACUAUAUGCUCAUUUUGGUCGUGUGUCGCAUCCAAAAACAUAUGUAAUUUUCCUUUUGUUGCACAACACCCUUAUAUAUGGGUGUUUCUAGAAACAUAUGUAUUUGGUCGUUAA